rnacentral:lncRNA from 1 species
UAAAAUCAGUAGCUUUCAAGCACCGCAGAAACCACUCCGACGAACUGAACUAGUGCCUGAACUACACCACCACCAAGACAGAAAUGCAGAAAAGACAGAACUCUAUGCAAAUGAAUUUCUUGUGUAUUCUAAACUUGAAAGUUUUUGCUUUGGUGUAUUGAAAUGAGGAAAAUGAGCCACUAUUUAUAGGCUAGGCUACAAUUAAUGGCAAUGACCUUUGGAGUUUCUCAUCUUUU